CUGAUUGUCAAAAUGGCAGCGGCGGUCUUGUCAGAGAAAGUGCAGUGAACUAGUGAAGAGCACUUCCAGCACAGUAGGGGCCGGAACAGGCAUGCGCUGAUGCUCUGAUGAGACAUGGCUCGGCGCCACCGAUGCAGCUGUCGUGCACACAACAGAAACGGUCACGACCGGCGCAGACACGACCAGCGGAAGCACCUUCGCCGCAUGCAGAACAGGGACUGCCUCCAGAAUCCCGGCCGGCACGCUCGGUGGAUUCAUCUCUGGCAAACCAAGAACGCACACAGCAUCCCGGAGGCCACCACAAGCCGAAAGACACACAGCCAGGGCGGAAGCAGCAGCAGGCAAGACGGGAGCAGCAGGCACAACUGAAGUACGGACAGCUGAUGCAGGCAAAGUACGGUCAGCAUCAGCAGACCCUACCAGAACUGCCAUCCUUGCAGCAGACCCUCCGUUGCCCUACACCCUCCGUUGCCCUCCGUAUACCCUCCGUUGCCUUACAUGAUAAAGAGUUAUUUUGGUCCUGAAUGACGAGCGUGCUAUGGUUGAUGUGACCUGGGUUUUUGUUAGUUUGGUACUUCUUGCCUUUUUUUCUCCUCCCCCUUUGCCCUCUCUUGCUUUUUAUUCUCUCCUAUGUACAGGGUAUUGCCUCAUUCUUGCAAUAAAGCACUGUGCCUGUCUGUCCUUUUUUCUCCUUUAGUGUUUCUAUCCGUUUUUUGCGCAGUUACAUAACGGAUACUAGUAUAGUCAAUAAAAUCAAUUUUGUAGCCAAUGGCCAGGAGCACUGGAAACCUGUUUCAAUAUUACUUCCCGUUCCACGUUUUAGUUUGACCCAGUGGCAGUCAUCUUCACACUUCACGUCAUCUACUUAUGGAACUUCCUACCCUCAUCACUAAAAUGUAAAAUUUCUCUGCUUUCAUUUAAAAAGUCAUUAAAAGAUUAUUUCUUAAAUUUAUGAAAUUUUAUUUAGGUGUACCAGAUUGCUAUAUAUUGUACUAAUGAUGUGUGUUUUAGUAACAUGUCUUUUCGUUUUUUUUCUAGUUUAGCAUUGCUUGUUUGUUCAGUUCUAGUGUUGUGGUGAUUCUAAAUUUACUCAUUAUAUGCAGUGUUUGUUUUUUUGGUUUUUUAUAUGCCUUCUUGCUUUUCAUAUAUGGUUUUUUCAGUUAUCGCUGCUGCUGAAUUUUUAUUCAAUUGGAACUAUAACUGAGGGUCCCGUUGCCAUCCCAUACUGUGGGACCCUAGUUUGUGUAUUGUAUAUUUUGUAUUUACUCUUGUCGUAAUAAAAAUAAUUUGAUUUGAAACAUCA